CAUGGCGGCGUGCUAUAAUGCAAGUCGAGUGGACUGACUUCGGUCAGUCAGCGGCGGACGGGUGAGUAACACGUGGGUAACCUGCCCUAAAGACCGGGAUAACAUCCUGAAAGGGAUGCUAAUACCGGGUGUGGUCUUCAUGUCGCAUGGCAGGGAGAAGAAAGGCGAAAGCCGCUUUAGGAUGGACCCGCGGCCCAUUAGCUAGUUGGUAGGGUAACGGCCUACCAAGGCGACGAUGGGUAGCCGACCUGAGAGGGUGACCGGCCACACUGGGACUGAGACACGGCCCAGACUCCUACGGGAGGCAGCAGUCGGGAAUAUUGGGCAAUGGGGGAAACCCUGACCCAGCAACGCCGCGUGAGUGAUGAAGGCCUUCGGGUCGUAAAGCUCUGUCCUUGGGGACGAAGAAUGACGGUACCCAAGAAGAAAGCCACGGCUAACUACGUGCCAGCAGCCGCGGUAAUACGUAGGUGGCAAGCGUUGUCCGGAAUUACUGGGCGUAAAGGGCGAGUAGGCGGUAAUACAAGUCAGAUGUGAAAGGCGAGGGCUCAACCCUCGGAUUGCAUUUGAAACUGUAUGACUUGAGUGCGGUAGAGGAAAGUGGAAUUCCCAGUGUAGCGGUGAAAUGCGUAGAUAUUGGGAGGAACACCAGUGGCGAAGGCGACUUUCUGGGCCGUAACUGACGCUGAGGCGCGAAAGCGUGGGGAGCGAACAGGAUUAGAUACCCUGGUAGUCCACGCCGUAAACGAUGGAUACUAGGUGUGGGAGGUAUCGACCCCUUCCGUGCCCGGAGUUAACGCAAUAAGCAUCCCGCCUGGGG
rnacentral:rRNA from 1 species